rnacentral:lncRNA from 1 species
AUAGAAUCCAACAGCUAUCAAAAAUCACGGCCAGCUGAGCUGAGUUCAUGCCUGUGCAGGAAUGGAUUGGCUGCAGCCAGCCAAUGUGCCCAGGCAGUGCUCUGGUCAUGAAAAGAGCUGAUAAUUCAUCAAAUCUAUGUCUGCCGUGAUGCCCAGGACUGGACUUCUGCCUUGCAUCCAGCUCAGAUCCUCUAACUCUGCAAAUGUUCCCAGGCUUUGGAAGAAUGACUGCUGGAGUGAGUUACAGCCCAUCUCCUGUCCCAGGCUACAUGUGCCCAGAGGGCAUAAAGCAGCACCACCCGAGCUGCCAGAGCAGAGAAGGAGGAGACACAGACCUCAUGGAAAUCUGGAAGUGGACUGGUUCCCAGCCUCACACCCCAGGCAAAUAUCUUCUUACAGAGGAGGCACAGACGUGGCACAGGAGGCCUCCGCUUCCUGCCACUAAGGCUGCUGAGCAAGCAUCCUGUUGCAUUCUCUACUAACUUUAAUUUGCAAAUAGCCUUAAAGCAUUGCAGAAAACAGCAUGGGAAUUUCUUUUUAAAGGUGGUAACAAAGGUUGGGCUGUCUGUGUAAAGCCUGCAAUGUAAUCACAAACAACAAAAGAGUACACAAGAUGUCAUGUAGGAGCAAAGAGGUCACCCUGAGCAGCGGAGGGAAUAAAAGCAGAGAAAAGGAUUCA